GACGAACGCUGGCGGCGUGCUUAACACAUGCAAGUCGAACGGAAAGGCCCCUUUGGGGGUACUCGAGUGGCGAACGGGGGAGUAACACGUGAGUAACCUGCCCUUGACUUCGGGAUAACUUCAGGAAACUGGGGCUAAUACCGGAUAGGAAUCCUUGCUGCAUGGUGGGGGUUGGAAAGCUUCGGCGGUUUUGGAUGGACUCGCGGCUUAUCAGCUUGUUGGUGGGGUAGUGGCUUACCAAGGCUUUGACGGGUAGCCGGCCUGAGAGGGCGACCGGCCACAUUGGGACUGAGAUACGGCCCAGACUCCUACGGGAGGCAGCAGUGGGGAAUAUUGCACAAUGGGCGGAAGCCUGAUGCAGCAACGCCGCGUGCGGGAUGACGGCCUUCGGGUUGUAAACCGCUUUCAGCAGGGGCGAAGCUUGUGGUGACGGUACCUGCAGAAGAAGCACCGGCUAACUACGUG
rnacentral:rRNA from 1 species